rnacentral:rRNA from 1 species
UACGGAGGAGGCAAGCGUUAUCCGGAAUUAUUGGGCGUAAAGCGUCCGCAGGUGGCACUUCAAGUCUGUCGUCAAAGACUGGGGCUUAACCCUGGAAAGGCGGUGGAAACUGAAGCGCUAGAGUGCGGUAGGGGUAGAGGGAAUUCCCGGUGUAGCGGUGAAAUGCGUAGAUAUUGGAAAGAACACCGAUGGCGAAGGCACUCUACUGGGCUAUUACUGACACUCAGAGACGAAAGCUAGGGGAGCAAAUGGG